UACGGGGGGUGCGAGCGUUGUCCGGAAUCACUGGGCGUAAAGGGCGCGCAGGCGGUUCUGUUUGUCGAGUGUGAAAGCCCCGGGCUCAACCUGGGAACUGCGCUCGAAACGGCGGAACUAGAGUUCGGGAGAGGAGAGUGGAAUUCCCAGUGUAGAGGUGAAAUUCGUAGAUAUUGGGAAGAACACCGGUGGCGAAGGCGGCUCUCUGGACCGAUACUGACGCUGAGGCGCGAAAGCGUGGGGAGCAAACAGG
rnacentral:rRNA from 1 species